rnacentral:rRNA from 1 species
UACGUAGGGCGCAAGCGUUGUCCGGAAUUAUUGGGCGUAAAGAGCUCGUAGGCGGUCUGUUACGUCUGCUGUGAAAACCCGGGGCUUAACCCCUGGCUUGCAGUGGAUACGGGCAGACUAGAGGCAGGUAGGGGAGAAUGGAAUUCCCGGUGUAGCGGUGAAAUGCGCAGAUAUCGGGAGGAACACCGGUGGCGAAGGCGGUUCUCUGGGCCUGACCUGACGCUGAGGAGCGAAAGCGUGGGGAGCGAACAGG